rnacentral:rRNA from 1 species
GAGUAAUGCUUAGGAAUCUGCCUAUUAGUGGGGGACAACAUCUCGAAAGGGAUGCUAAUACCGCAUACGUCCUACGGGAGAAAGCAGGGGAUCUUCGGACCUUGCGCUAAUAGAUGAGCCUAAGUCGGAUUAGCUAGUUGGUGGGGUAAAGGCCUACCAAGGCGACGAUCUGUAGCGGGUCUGAGAGGAUGAUCCGCCACACUGGGACUGAGACACGGCCCAGACUCCUACGGGAGGCAGCAGUGGGGAAUAUUGGACAAUGGGGGGAACCCUGAUCCAGCCAUGCCGCGUGUGUGAAGAAGGCCUUAUGGUUGUAAAGCACUUUAAGCGAGGAGGAGGCUACUUUAGUUAAUACCUAGAGAUAGUGGACGUUACUCGCAGAAUAAGCACCGGCUAACUCUGUGCCAGCAGCCGCGGUAAUACAGAGGGUGCGAGCGUUAAUCGGAUUUACUGGGCGUAAAGCGUGCGUAGGCGGCUUAUUAAGUCGGAUGUGAAAUCCCCGAGCUUAACUUGGGAAUUGCAUUCGAUACUGGUGAGCUAGAGUAUGGGAGAGGAUGGUAGAAUUCCAGGUGUAGCGGUGAAAUGCGUAGAGAUCUGGAGGAAUACCGAUGGCGAAGGCAGCCAUCUGGCCUAAUACUGACGCUGAGGU